CCCGUCUGACAGCUGAGGCUGGGCAGCGAAGAGGGGGAAGCUGCACGGCCACUCAGGACUCGCCUUCUGCACGUGACAAGCAAACUCUUAGUUUGGUUCUUACCAUCAGGAAUCGCCGUCCGGUCGGCGGCUACGUACCAGUUCACCUACUGCAAUCAAUCAGUCAUCAGUUGCUCUUCGUGACAUACGGUCACGAAUGAAAAGAUAAGGUGUCAGACCAUCUGAGAUGAAGAGCCAAUUCCCUUUAGAUGAGCAUGCACAGACGCCUCGUGUUCCAGGCUCGGCCCACUGGGAGGAGGCAGAGGACGACCCAGCUCACACUGGAGCAACUCUCCAUCCCACCUGGCCUGGUUGUCUGCUCAGACUGCUCCUCUAAUGCUCACCUGACUCUCCAUACGCUGAACUAUGUCCUGCUGCAGCCUCCACUGGGCAAUGCUCCUGUCCCCGUGACUGUGUUCAGAAUGCAGAUGCCUGGAAAGUAAAUAAAAGGAAGCUGAGAA